UACAGAGGUCUCAAGCGUUGUUCGGAUUCAUUGGGCGUAAAGGGCGCGUAGGCUGCGGGGCAAGUCGGGUGUGAAAUCUCAGAGCUCAACUCUGAAACUGCACUCGAUACUGCUUUGCUCGAGGACUGGAGAGGAGAGUGGAAUUCCUGGUGUAGCGGUGAAAUGCGCAGAUAUCAGGAAGAACACCCGUGGCUAAGGCGGCUCUCUAGUACGGUACUGACGCUGAGACGCGAAAGCGUGGGGAGCAAACAGG
rnacentral:rRNA from 1 species